AAAGCUUGAGUAUCUGAACACUGAAGGGAAUCUGAACACUAAGGGAACCAGCUCUCUGCUUUGUCAUCCGGGGUUUUGAAUCUUCCACUAAAAUUCCUCAGAAUAGAAAAUAAUUUCUUACAUCCUUUGUUACGGAAUGAAGAGAUUCAGAACCAACCGCAGAAGCUGAUUCAUCUGGCUGCCCUCUGCUUCUCCACAAAUAAUCUGAAGGAAAGAUACAACAUUACAGAAGGUAUUAAAAAGAUUUUGGAUGAAUUUAGUGUCUGUGACUGCUGCAGCGGACCUUGAUAUGGCAAAGGACUUCAGCUCAUCCAAAUGUAUAGAAAUGUAUUUAAAUUUGGAAAGCUUCCUUUUUACUUCUAUGCCUGCUCACCAUCGUGCCAUAGAAACUUUGUGUCUCAGCCUGAAGCUUGACUCCAGUACUUCGUGAAAAGGUAUCUGGAUUGCAGAGCAACUGUGAAUGGGAUAAAAUGGUUCAGAAAUAUGA